rnacentral:rRNA from 1 species
AUUGAACGCUGGCGGCAGGCUUAACACAUGCAAGUCGAGCGGAGCGAGGGUGCUUGCACCUUAGCUUAGCGGCGGACGGGUGAGUAAUGCUUAGGAAUCUGCCUAUUAGUGGGGGACAACAUUCCGAAAGGAAUGCUAAUACCGCAUACGCCCUACGGGGGAAAGCAGGGGAUCUUCAGACCUUGCGCUAAUAGAUGAGCCUAAGUCGGAUUAGCUAGUUGGUGGGGUAAAGGCCUACCGAGGCGACGAUCUGUAGCGGGUCUGAGAGGAUGAUCCGCCACACUGGGACUGAGACACGGCCCAGACUCCUACAGGAGGCAGCAGUGGGGAAUAUUGGACAAUGGGCGGAAGCCUGAUCCAGCCAUGCCGCGUGUGUGAAGAAGGCCUUUUGGUUGUAAAGCACUUUAAGCGAGGAGGAGGCUACUUAGAUUAAUACUCUGGGAUAGUGGACGUUACUCGCAGAAUAAGCACCGGCUAACUCUGUGCCAGCAGCCGCCGUAA